rnacentral:rRNA from 1 species
UACGUAGGGAGCAAGCGUUGUUCGGAUUUACUGGGCGUAAAGGGCGCGUAGGCGGCGCGGUGAGUCACUUGUGAAAUCUCUGAGCUUAACUCAGAACGGCCAAGUGAUACUGCAGUGCUAGAGUGCAGAAGGGGCAAUCGGAAUUCUUGGUGUAGCGGUGAAAUGCGUAGAUAUCAAGAGGAACACCUGAGGUGAAGACGGGUUGCUGGGCUGACACUGACGCUGAGUGCGCGAAAGCCAGGGGAGCAAACGGG